rnacentral:rRNA from 1 species
CAUUUGUCUUUUAAAUGAAGACUUGUAUGAACGGCAAAACCUCCUCCAACUGUCUCCCCUCCCAUCCUUCCAAAUUUCCUCCUGUGUGAAGAAGCACAGAUACACCAGAAAGACGAGAAGACCCUGUCGAGCUUUAACCACUAAGUGGGCCUUACCCUUUCAGGCACCACCCAAAGGUUUUGGUUGGGGCAACCACGGAGAAAAAACAUCCUCCAGAACGAAUAGAAGAAAGCUUUUCACUAUUAUUACGACUAAGAACCAGGAACUGGUAUUCGGAAAGAGUUACCGCAGGGAUAACAGCGUCAUCUCCUCUAAGAGUCCUUAUUGACGAGGAGGUUUGCGACCUCGAUGUUGGAUUGGGGCCCCCUUAGGGUGCAGAAGCUCUAAACGGGUAGACUGUUCGUCUAUUAAAGCCCUACAUGAUCUGAGUUCNAAACCGGAGAU